UUUUCGAUGAGCAUGGUCAAGAAAUUAAGAAUCCACUUCUGCUGAAAAAUGAGCAGAAAAUUUGGGUCUCUUAUGGUCAAGCAUACAGAUCUCCACUGAACCCUGUUUUGAGUUUGACCUUUGACCAGGUGACUGUAUUUGCCAGAGGUGGCGUUACAAUUGCAUAUAAAACCUUCUUGGAUCUCAGUGCUGUUCUGCUACCUAGAUGUGACAGUUGGGACGUUUGUGAGGGAUUUCCAGCAAAUUUUAAUGCCAGCAGUCAGCAGAUACCUGAUC